UACAGAGGUCCCAAGCGUUGUUCGGAUUCACUGGGCGUAAAGGGUGCGUAGGUGGUUGUGCAAGUCUGAUGUGAAAUCUCCGGGCUUAACCCGGAGAUGGCAUUGGAAACUGCAUGGCUAGAGGGUUGGAGGGGGGACUGGAAUACUUGGUGUAGCAGUGAAAUGCGUAGAUAUCAAGUGGAACACCAGAGGCGAAGGCGAGUCCCUGGACAACACCUGACACUGAGGCACGAAAGCUAGGGGAGCAAACAGG
rnacentral:rRNA from 1 species